AGCACUGGUGCAGAGAUGUCAGCAGACACUGGGUUGUUUGGUUCUCAGGAGUCGAGUCGUCCUGUGGAAGAUCCCUGGGCAGGGUUUGCCAGGGUGAGCAGGCAGAAGUUGGGCCCAAGUUAGGGGCUGAAUCAGCUCACCUCUGCACUCUCUGCACACUGUGGGGGCCGGAAUGGCCCAGCGAUCUCCCUGGGAUCCUGUCUCUGCUGAUUUGAAGCUUUAUUGCAUGUGGCCAAAUAAAAUGCAUGAAGUUAUUUCAAUUUUUAUGUAUUUGUUGAGUGUUCUUAUUCUACUAUAUAGUCUAUUUAAGAGAAAAUUCCAUUGACUGUUGAGUAGAACUUGUAUUCUUUAGUGUUUAUGCAGAAUAUUCUGUAGAUAUCUGUGAAGUGCAUUUGAUGUAUAAUAUCAUUUAAUUAUGAUUUUUCUCUGUUAUCUUAUGUCCAGGUGACCUUUCUAUUGAAGAAAGUGUGGUGUUGAAAUCACCUAAAAGGCUGUUUAUCACUUGAAUCAUUUGAACAGAAGAUCACAAGACCACUGAGAGCAAGGAAACUAAGCAGAGAUGCAAGGCAGGUGGGUCCUGUGGAUAUUUACACUCUGGAUACUGGGAAGUUGGUGGCAAAUGCUCAGUUGACAACAGCAGAGAGACCUGUUGCAAGUAGUGUGAGGCUGCAGAUCCUUAGACUCUCACUUUGAACUCAAACUCUUCUUCGACUAUUAUGUGUGUUGCUUGACCCAAACAGUGGAUCUUCAAGCACUUUAAGUUCGCCUGUGCCUGCAAGUGCUGAAACACUAGAGUCAAUGAGUGAUAUGGAGUAAGAGCAUUCUAAAGGAAGCAUGUUUCACAGACACUUCGGCCACUGGAUAAGGCAAACGAUAUACCUUUUGAUGGAGAGCUCCGUCUAGGAGCCCAGCUAAACACAACAUCCUGCAAGAGGUUCACCUGCAGAGAUUGCAUCCAUCCUUCACUGGCUCCCUCCCCACAUUGCCACAGGGCCUCGAAAGCUCAUCUCAUCACUUCCUUUUUAAUCUCCCUGUGAGCACUUGUGCCCUCCUUCAAGGGAGCCAAGGUAAUUUUAAAGAACACCUCAUUUUGCUUUCAUUUUGCACUGGCCUGGC